rnacentral:rRNA from 1 species
CCACACGUGGGUUGCAUUAUUGCUAAACUCCCUCAUGGUGUGAGGAACUUUACUACUUCUCUCAAUCACAUGAAACAGGAAUUCUCGGUUGAUGAUGUCACUAUUCAUCUAAGUGUUGAGCAGAACUCUAGAGUAAAGGAGUCACAUGUGAAAGGGGCAGAGGGAUCUUCUAGCGCCAAUGUGGUGCAGAAGAAUUUCCACAAGUUCGAGAAAAAUAACAUUGUCCAGCAGAAUACUACCUUCAAGAAGAAGUGCAAGAAGAAAGAUGGUUGUUUCACUUGUGGUGAUGAAAAUAACUAG